rnacentral:rRNA from 1 species
GACGAACGCUGGCGGCGUGCUUAACACAUGCCAGUCGAACGGAAAGGCCCUGCUUUUGUGGGGUGCUCGAGUGGCGAACGGGUGAGUAACACGUGAGUAACCUGCCCUUGACUUUGGGAUAACUUCAGGAAACUGGGGCUAAUACCGGAUAGGAGCUCCUGCUGCAUGGUGGGGGUUGGAAAGUUUCGGCGGUUGGGGAUGGACUCGCGGCUUAUCGGCUUGUUGGUGGGGUAGUGGCUUACCAAGGCUUUGAGGGGUAGCCGGCCUGAGAGGGUGACCGGCCACAUUGGGACUGAGAUACGGCCCAGACUCCUACGGGAGGCAGCAGUGGGGAAUAUUGCACAAUGGGCGGAAGCCUGAUGCAGCAACGCCGCGUGCGGGAUGACGGCCUUCGGGUUGUAAACCGCUUUCGCCUGUGACGAAGCGUGAGUGACGGUAAUGGGUAAAGAAGCACCGGCUAACUACGUG